rfam:Dendroctonus ponderosae Seq01028532, whole genome shotgun sequence.
AUCGCUUCUCGGCACUAUGUGCUAAGAUCAAAGUGUAGUAUCUGUUCUUAUCAGCUUAAUAUCUGAUACGCCCCGCAUGCGGGGCCAGUAUAU